rnacentral:rRNA from 1 species
UGGGGAAUAUUGCACAAUGGGCGAAAGCCUGAUGCAGCGACGCCGCGUGAGGGAUGACGGUCUUCGGGUUGUAAACCUCUUUCAGCAGGGACGAAGCGCAAGUGACGGUACCUGCAGAAGAAGCACCGGCUAACUACGUGCCAGCAGCCUCGGGAAUACGUAGGGUGCAAGCGUGGUCCGGAAUUACUGGGCGUAAAGAGUUCGUUGGCGGUUUGUCGCGUCGUUUGUGAAAACCAGCAGCUCAACUGCUGGCUUGCAGGCGAUACUGGCAGACUUGAGUACUGCAGGGGAGACUGGAAUUCCUGGUGUAUCGGUGAAAUGCGCAGAUAUCAGGAGGAACACCGGUGGCGAAGGCGGGUCUCUGGGCAGUAACUGACGCUGAGGAACGAAAGCGUGGGUAGCGAACAGA